GACGAACGCUGGCGGCGUGCCUAAUACAUGCAAGUAGAACGCUGAAGCUUGGUGCUUGCCCCGAGCGGAUGAGUUGCGAACGGGUGAGUAACGCGUAGGUAACCUGCCUGGUAGCGGGGGAUAACUAUUGGAAACGAUAGCUAAUACCGCAUAAGAGUAGAUGUUGCAUGACAUUUGCUUAAAAGGUGCAAUUGCAUCACUACCAGAUGGACCUGCGUUGUAUUAGCUAGUUGGUUAGGUAACGGCUCACCAAGGCAACGAUACAUAGCCGACCUGGAAGGGGGAUCGGCCAACCUGGGACUGGGAAACGGCCCAGACUCCUACGGGAGGCAGCAGUAGGGAAUCUUCGGCAAUGGACGGAAGUCUGACCGAGCAACGCCGCGUGAGUGAAGAAGGUUUUCGGAUCGUAAAGCUCGGUUGUAAGAGAAGAACGAGUGUGAGAGUGGAAAGUUCACACUGUGACGGUAUCUUACCAGAAAGAGACGGCUAACUACGUG
rnacentral:rRNA from 1 species